CGGGGCCGAGCCGAGGCCGAGCCGGUCCUGGGCGGCUCCGCGGGACCCGCCGGACAAGCGAAGGCGGCUGUGGCGGCGGCCGCGGGCAGAGUGCCCCAGGCGGGCCGGCCGGGUGAGGCAGCCCCGUCCGGGAAGCCCCUGCGGUCCGGGCGGCGGAGCCGGCCGCCUCCCCCCUCCCCGCAGCCUCCCCUCACAGAUUGGGUCAUCCGAAUCUUAAAGAUGUCUUUAAAAAGAAGAAUCUAAUUUUCUACAGACAGCUUUGUUAUGCUGGACUGGAGAUGUUGGUUACCUUGAAAGAAGAAAUGGCAGACUGUGAGCCCAAAUUAGGAAUUUGAAGACUUUUCAGGAUAACGUGGAGACAUGACAUGUAGAGCUCUUUACCAUGAAUGAGGCAAAAAUACCUUUCCUGUAAGAGGGACCAAAGGGGAAAGGUAAAUAGCUGAAACUAUGAAAUCAGAACUGUUCCAUGGAUAGCAUAUUUAAGUUGUAUGCUAAACCCAUUGAGAAUGUAAAUUCAGAAUUUCUGAGUAAAUCUGAAGAUGGAAGACUUUUGUGGGACCAUAAAGAAAAGGAACAAAUCUUCAUGCAAAAGCUGGCAUAGUGCAUUCACAGAGUAUUCACAUUUCUCCUAUGUCUGUAAUUCUAGUUGUUCAGGCUUCUGUCACAGUCAGUGCAUUGUUAUGUAGCUGCCCUCCUAGAAAUGUUUAAAUCUUAAAAAUCAGCAAAAAUGGCAGUGCAUGUCACUGUAUACCACAGAGUGAUUCAAACUGCCUCGUGUCUGUACUCUGAGGAAAGGAAAUACAAGUAAGGAUGCUAUACUUUUUUGUUUUCCUUUUUCUGUUAAUUGCAGGUUAGCCUUUUGGUUGAGAUUUUUAUGAGAGUAAUUCAUUAUGCUAAGUUCUUACUGUGGUAGAUAAGUUCUUAGAUUUUUUUUAGCUUAUCUUUAAAGCACAGUGGUCUUGGAUCAGCCACUCCCUGCCCUCUGUGGAGGUGAACUGAUUAUUGCAGAACUUAACAAAUCACCUGGAAUAGACUUGGCUUUAUUUAAAAAGUUUAUUAAAGUUGGUCUGAAUAAGUUCUUGCAGAUGUUACUCCACUCAGUGGACAGCCAAGAUAGUUUUUUGUAAAUAAAGAUGCAGUUUUCCAGCCUGAGCUAUGUUGUGCUUAGCCUGAGGAGUAUGAAACUGAAGGUCUCCAAUUGCUGGCAUCAUUCUUAACCACAGCAAAAUGAAUUUAUAAUUUUGUUCUUUAUUCAGACUUAAAUGUCGGGCAAUUGGGGAGAGGCCCUUUUGAAUCUGUAUCUGAGCUUUAUUUUGGCUCACACCAUGAUCUUUUUUCUGUAGCUAUUGGAGAUGAUGUGAUUUGGAUUACGUAUGAGAAGUUGGCUAUGCACCUUAAAAUGUAAUGCUGAUUCACACACAUUGUUUGACCCAGGGCAAAAGUGGAAUAAAAAUAUUUAUGUAUUAUAAUGAUAAUUAAAAAUAUAUAUAAAUAGUGAGAAAAUGAAUCACUUAAUACUUCAGUUGGAUAAAUUUAUUUGAGCAUUUAAUUUGGAAAUAAACUUUCUAGUAAAAUGAAGUUGCUCUCUAUUCCCUGACUACUGACCCCAAACAUCUGAAUAAAAGUAAAAAUAGGGACUUGAAGUAUAAAGCUUCUGGCUACUUAACUGUAGUAUCAGAGGAACGGGCUUGUAUUUACAUAGACUUGGUAUAAAUACAUGGCUAUAAGGUACCAAGGGAAAGAAUCUUUUAAAAACAAGUGUUUGGGUUCAUGUUAUUUUCUUUCCUUAAUUUAGACUUAGGAGGAGUUUGGGGGGGAGGCAGAAAAGAGCAUUAUGAGGACAUACCAAUUCAUGAAGCAUUAGUCUUGAAACAUUAUGCUAUAGUACUAUAGAGUUUUAAAAUACUAUAGAGUUCUAAAAUCCAGAGCUAACUACUAGAAAUUUGUGAAUGCUGGCUAUUGACUUCCACUGCAAAGCUUUCCUACUACUUUCUAAAUUUGUGCACAGUUCAAGAGUUCUUUUUACAUUUAGGAUUGCUUAAUUCUCAACUCUGCUCUGGUCAGUAAGUGCGACUUAACAAAAUCAGAGCAAUAGUGAAUAUUUGUCUUCCUGUGCCAGUUCCAGUCACUUUUUGCUUGCAUCAGACAUCUGUGGUUAAUCUGAUGUGAGUGGCAGAUGGAUGGAUUGACAAGACCUGGACUCCAAAACACACACUUGAGUGUGCAUGCAUAGGCAUAGACUCCUUUGACCCCAAUUAUAUUUAACUGUUUCUCUGUGACAACUGAGGCUUCAAAUUCAAUGAGUUAUAGUGGUCAUGCUAGUUGCAGAAUGAGGACAUCUUAAGAUGGGGAGGAAAAGAGAAAGAAACUUUCCUUGGCUGCUUGCCUCCUCACCCUUCCUUCCCUCUUUCCUUUCCUUCUGUCUUGUUGAGCUCGUUGCUUAUGGUGCUUAUGUAAAGCAGAGUUCAGUGGGAGUGGUAAAAUAAGGCUUGAGAAAAUUACAGUAAAUCUCUGUGGCCUGCAUAGAUGUGAUUUAGAAAUCGUGAAUAAACAUGAACUUUAAGUAUCUUAAUGGUGUCCCUUUUUUAGUAUUAAACCUUUUUUUGUUAAACUGGAAUACUGGCAGUUGAAGCACAGCUCCUAGGCAGGUGAUCAUACAUUGCUAUUGGAAAAUGUCAAAUAGGUAAAUUUUCUGUGCCGAAAGGACUUUGUGUUGUUCUCUACCUGUGGAUUUAGGGGGGUAUUUCACACUUCAAUGAAUGCUAUCUUUAUUGCUGCUCUUAAGAAAAACAUUAACUACUGUUAAAGGCAUUAACAGUAGUCAGCAGUCAAGAUUCUUCAGUUUGUGAUGACUUAAGAAUAAACCCUUUUUAUUCCAGGGCUUUUAAGCUUUAUGAAAAUGAGAGGGCAGUUCCUUUAGUGAAAUCUUGAGUAUGUUGUCUACUUAGAUUUGUUUAAAAAUAGAAAGUGUUUGGGAUAAUAGCUGAAGUCCCAUAAUAAAAACACAGCUUCAGUUUUGAUUGAGCUUCUAUAGAAGUCAUAUCUUUCAAGCAUGUAGUCAUACAAAGGGAUCUGUAAUGCCUCUGCCUUUUCUAGCACUACAUUUGGAAAUGAAAAUUUUGACUCCUAUAUAAAUACAAAAACUUUGUAGGAUGCUAUAUAUAGUUCACAGUGAGUUUGAUAAAGCAGUGAAAGACUUCAUUGCCACGUAUAUGGACUGUUUUGUCAUGAUUAAUGCAUUGAAACAAAGAGAGGCUGUGGGGAGUUUGUUCUCUUUGGGCAGGUAACAUUGUAGUAACCUUCAUUAUUCCUUAAGAAGUAAGUGUUAAAGGAAAGCAGUGUAAGAAAUGGUUCACUGCAACUUAAUGCUUAGGAGCCUAAUUAGUUGAAUACCAUGUGCCUACCUCUGCAUGAAAUAGCCUGUUUCUUUCCAAUGUAAAAUAGGAAUUUUCAGGUUUGGAACAGCUUAAAGGGGCCUUUGUUGCAAGUGACCACUGUUUUUUUUAACUAUUCUCAAAUAUAAUGAAGGUCAGCAUGGUAUCCAUAGUGACUGCAUGCAGCUUCCUCAUUAAUCUUGGCAUACUGAUGUAAUAACAGAAUUCACUUAACUACAACAAGUUUUCAGGUUUCAGGAGUAAACCUUUACUUGAAAAUGUGAUGUGAUUGGGUUUCUGUAAUAGAAAUCUUGAUUAUUGUAGCUUUUCUUCAAUUUGAAAGUUAUGAUAGUCUUUGUGUUACUAUCAAGGCCUAAACAGAACCCACCAGAAUAAGCAACCUUUAAUUGCUGAAGUCUACUUAUAAUCUGGUAGUAGAAAACUUCUUACUUACAAAAUUGAUUUUUGAAGGCAUAAGAGCUGCUAAAUGGGAAUGUUUUCAGCUCUGCUACUAAAAGGAAGACAUUCUACUACAAACUACAAAAUCAAACCAUAUGAGUGGCAUGUGAAUAUGAUCAAGCCAGAAUUACAUGGUGAAAAUUUCCUGCUGAUACCAGUUCCAGGCCCUCUGUGCCCAAUGAAAAAAUGGGGAAAACUUGCAGCAGCAGGAGCCUCACAGGAGUCCUUUGAAUGUUGACUUUUGGGUUACUUCUGUGCACAACAGUGGGGAAUCAGAGUAUUAGGAUAUGCAACAACUCAGUGCAAUACACUAAAUAAUUUACUUUAUUUUUUUCCCUUUAAGUGUAUGCAUUGUAAAUAUUAAUUUUUAAUAUUAUAAAGGUGCUUUUACCUUAAAGGAAAUUGAUUGUUGCACAAUAGAAUGCAGUCUUGUGGGAGUUUUGAUACUUAUUGAAGAAGGGAAGUAAAAUGGAUCCAUCCUUAGGUUAAUUGUUUUCACUCUCACCCUUGCCUUA